ACGAAAGUCUGAUGGAGCAAUACCAUGUGAACGAUGAAGGUCUUUUUGAUUGUAAAGUUCUUUUAUGAGGGAUAAUAAUGAUAGUACCUCAUGAAUAAGUGACAGCAAACUAUGUGCCAGCAGCUGCGGUAAUACAUAGGUCGCAAGCAUUAUCCGGAUUUAUUGGGCGUA
rnacentral:rRNA from 1 species